ACUACCGCAUUACAGCCAACGACCGGCAGGCAAACUGUUUUGCAGAUCAACGAGGUAAGCGAAAGUUACUUUACUUCCGUAGUAGAAUAGUAUUUAGUUUCUUCAUAGUAAGGAAAAACUAAUUUAUAAAUUCGUUUAAACACACACCCAUACAGAAUAGGACGACCUUCGGACGAUACACAAUAAUAUCCCAUAUUAUACGGUACGAUUUUAUUAUAUAAUAUGAUUUACAUACAUCGUAUCUACAUCGCGUCUCAACACCAUAUUUGGCUGUCUGUACAUAGUGGCAACGUAGCGUCCGCGUUAAGUCAUAAAGUCGUCACACAUACACCCCUUUAAUGCUCACCACUGUGUU